rnacentral:rRNA from 1 species
GACGAACGCUGGCGGCGUGCUUAACACAUGCAAGUCGAACGAUGAACCCGGAGCUUGCUCCGGUGGAUUAGUGGCGAACGGGUGAGUAACACGUGAGUAACCUGCCCUUGACUCUGGGAUAACUGCGGGAAACUGUAGCUAAUACCGGAUACGACCCUCGGCGGCAUCGCCAGGGGGUGGAAAGAAUUUCGGUCAAGGAUGGACUCGCGGCCUAUCAGCUAGUUGGCGAGGUAAUGGCUCACCAAGGCGUCGACGGGUAGCCGGCCUGAGAGGGUGACCGGCCACACUGGGACUGAGACACGGCCCAGACUCCUACGGGAGGCAGCAGUGGGGAAUAUUGCACAAUGGGCGGAAGCCUGAUGCAGCAACGCCGCGUGAGGGAUGACGGCCUUCGGGUUGUAAACCUCUUUUAGCAGGGAAGAAGCGAGAGUGACGGUACCUGCAGAAAAAGCACCGGCUAACUACGUGCCAGCCGCCGCGGUAA